GAUGAACGCUGGCGGCGUGCCUAAUACAUGCAAGUCGAGCGAACGGACGAGAAGCUUGCUCCUCUGAUGUUAGCGGCGGACGGGUGAGUAACACGUGGAUAACCUACCUAUAAGACUGGGAUAACUUCGGGAAACCGGAGCUAAUACCGGAUAAUAUUUUGAACCGCAUGGUUCAAUAGUGAAAGACGGUCUUGCUGUCACUUAUAGAUGGAUCCGCGCUGCAUUAGCUAGUUGGUAAGGUAACGGCUUACCAAGGCAACGAUGCAUAGCCGACCUGAGAGGGUGAUCGGCCACACUGGAACUGAGACACGGUCCAGACUCCUACGGGAGGCAGCAGUAGGGAAUCUUCCGCAAUGGGCGAAAGCCUGACGGAGCAACGCCGCGUGAGUGAUGAAGGUCUUCGGAUCGUAAAACUCUGUUAUUAGGGAAGAACAUAUGUGUAAGUAACUGUGCACGUCUUGACGGUACCUAAUCAGAAAGCCACGGCUAACUACGUG
rnacentral:rRNA from 1 species